AGUGAACGCUGGCGGUAGGCCUAACACAUGCAAGUCGAACGGCAGCACCGUACGAGCUUGCUCUUACGGGUGGCGAGUGGCGGACGGGAGAGGAAUACAUCGGAAUCUACUUUUUCGUGGGGGAUAACGUAGGGAAACUUACGCUAAUACCGCAUACGACGUACGGGGGAAAGGAGGGGAACUUCGGACCUUGCGCGGAUGAAUGCGCCGAUGUCGGAUUAGCUGGUUGGGGGGGUGAAUGCCCACCCAGGCGACGAUCCGUAGCUGGUCUGAGAGGAUGAUCAGCCACACUGGAACUGAGACACGGUCCAGACGCCUACGGGAGGCAGCAGUGGGGAAUAUUGGACAAUGGGCGCAAGCCUGAUCCAGCCAUACCGCGUGGGUGAAGAAGGCCUUCGGGUUGUAAAGCCCUUUUGUUGGGAAAGAAAAGCAGCAGGUUAAUACCCCGCGGUUCUGACGGUACCCAAAGAAUAAGCACCGGCUAACUUCGUG
rnacentral:rRNA from 1 species